rnacentral:lncRNA from 1 species
UUUUUUUUGUUUUUGUCUUUUUAGGGCUACACCUGUGGCAUAUGGAGGUUCUCGGGCUAGGGGUCGAUUCAGAGCUGUAGCCAGCCAGCCUACGCUACAGCUACAACAAUGCGGGAGCCGGGAGGUCCCGUGGUGGCACCGUGGUUAACAAAUCCAACUAGGAACCAUGAGGUUGUGGGUUCGAUCCCUGGCCUUGCUCAGUGGGUUAAGGAUCUGGUGUUGCCAUGAGCUGUGCAAUGCUGAACCCUUAACCCACUGAGUGAGGCCAGGGAUCAAACCUGCGUCCUCAUGGCUGCUAGUCAGAUUUGUUUCUGCUGAGCCACGAUGGGAACUCCAUCACUGCAUUUAUAUGUCAGUAUCUGGAAGCCUCUGCCAGGACUCAGAAUUCUCAUGUGCACAUCGGAAAGCUGAACGAUCCAAACUCUUGGUCUAUCCCAGUCCUGUGAGCAUGUGCGCAGCCUUCUUUACCACAAAGCUCCAAGCAUUUACUACACAACAAACUACCCGAAAACUUGGUGGCUUAAAACCACCCCCAUUUUAUUAUCUCACAAUUGUGUGGACUAGAAAUUCAANAUCCUUAACCACUGAGCGAGGCCUGGGAUGGAACCCGAAACCUCAUGCUUGCUAGUCGGAUUCGUUAAGCACUGAGCCUCAGAGGGAACUCCAAGGGAGUGAAUUCUUUCAUGGCAGCUCCCAUGAGCCUCCUAGAGCUCAGAGCUCCCAGGACAGCACUCGAUGGAGCCCAGCAGGGAGUUUCUGGUCUAACCACAGAAGUCACAGAAUAUCACUUCCACUGCAUCCUGCAGGCCAAGAAAACCACCAAGGUGAGGUCAGAUUCAAGUAGAGGGAAACUGGGCCCUACCCCUCAAUGGAAGAAGUAGCAAAGGAAUUGUGGCCAUUAUUGACCCAUUACGAAUGUGGUUCACAGAAGAAGGAAAAUAAGGAAUUCCAAUCACUAACCCUAUGGUCAGAGAAAAAAAACCUAGACUCAGUAUUAAAAUGUUAGGAAAGGUACCUUUUGUGUUUUAAACUAAAAUGUUUAAGAUAUGUAGGUCCUAUUUUUAUAUUGAUUCACCAACCUUUUUUUUAACUAGUUAUAUAGGAUAAGAUCUUAUCUCUCUAUUGUAAGUUUUUAAAAAUACAAGAACUUAGAUCCAUGACAAUUUCUUAUUUGUAUUUAAGGAUUCAAAGCACAAAGCACAGGGUGUGCUUGCUAAUUCAGGUCAAAAAAAAAAAAAAAAAAGGUGCCCACUCUUUUUUUGCCCCAGAGCUGCCUGCUCCAGCCUUGGUGGUUUGUAUGGCAAGGCUCCAUUUCCUAGAACUAAGCUGCCUUUGCUGCCAGCCGUCUGCACCGCCUCUUUCCAGCUCAUCUUGGCUGAAGCUGCCAUUUUCCAGAGCAAACCUCAGCCCCAUUCCUUUCAAAACACAGAGACUGUCUCUGACAGCUUCUAACUUAAGCUGGGUGAUGCUCCCACUCCAGAAUUCCAAGAAAAACUAAUGCUUUCCUAACUCAGGUUUUGAAAUACCCACCACCUACCAACCCCUACAGCUCGGGCCCCUGACAGUUUCACUAGAGCUCCAACCCCAGGGGCCCUCACACCCCCAGCACCCCUAGACGCUCUCAGUGGCCCAUCAGAAGCUGCACACCUGAGUCCUCUCAUCCUUUGUUGCCCUGGGAACCAUCUCUGGGCUUCCUCUCACCUUCCCCCACCCCAAAGGUGCCUUCUCCAGCUGUCUCUGGCGAAAUAGUUCUCGAACUUUCUACUUCCCCAUUCAGCCCUUUCCAGUUAACCUCACCCAAGGCUGUCCUCGCCUCACGUUGAAUCCUAGCACUCCUCUGCCAGGGCUCCAGGCCGCCUCUGUCCCUGUAGCGUGUGCAGUGCUCGAAGACCACGUCUAGCCUGUCACACGUUUCCCUUUUCCCCCAAAAUGUGAACUUUGGCCACUCUCAUGGCAGGUGAAAGGGAUCAAAUUAGGCCAGGGAAUUGAACCUUAGCCACAGCAGUGACAACACUGAAUUUUUAACUACUAGGCCACCAGGGAACUCCCAAAAUGCAAACAUUUUGAGAGCAGAGACCAUGGUUUGUGUGUGGUGUGUGUGAGAGAGAGAGAAGGAGACGGGGGUGGGGGGGAGAUUUUAAAAUUAUUAUUCAGUAUAGAGAAUAGACUUGGGCUUCCUAAUACAUGCUCUAAAGAUGCAUAUUGAAAUUAAAUGUCAAAAAAAUGUACAUAAAUUGUGCCAGGCACUGGACUAAGCACUUUACAUUAUUUAAUCCAUACAUUUAAUCCUCAUCCUCUACCACUAUUACUUCCUCUAGGGUCUAAUUUUAACAAAAUUCCACCAAAAGGAAGAAUUGGGACAUCCCACAUAACUCAUUUGGACUGGGAUGUGGCACCCGGAACAAGCGCCCCUCCAAACGCCCGAAGACAGCGUGAGCGUUGUCAGGUGCGAUCAGCGACUUCCUGGCAGGUGUGCUCAGGUGUGUUAGGAGGGACACAGCUCUGACGGCAGGCAGAGAAUGAGACCGAUAAGCCUGCACUCUGGGAUCCAGGCGCUCACAAGCAAGGGGCAAGAGGAGGUUUCCUGUUCUGGAUGAGAGGAGUCGUGUAGGAGGUAUAAGGAAUGAAGCCGUGGAAGUGAUGGGUGGACCUCAAACCCCACACCCCCAAAAAGGUCUGCCUUUAAUUGUUUUAUUAGAGAGUUUACCAAAAUUGGAACCAGGAAGAAAAAGAACAAGCCACAGAAAUUUGUUCUUGGCUCCAGUCAGACAGCUGAGCCCCAAACUGCGAUUCUAAAGUCUGUUUGCUAUUGAACAGGCGAAUCGAGGACCAAAAGGCACUGGCACAUCUAGUGGGCUCACAGGAGCCAUGGCCAAGUUGAGGGUUAGGGACAUGUGCCAGCAGCACGCUCGGGUACACUCUGUCCCUGCCCGAGUCUACUGCAGUAAUUAGCUUUGCUCAUUAGUUUCAAGUAAAUAAUCUCCUUGUCACAGCUGGGAUCCUUUAUCAGAACAGUGGACAUCAGGGUUUGCAAAAGCAAAGGAUUUCCCCCCCCACCCCCAGAAUUCCCUGGAACACUAAGUCAUGACCCAGAGAUUUGAAUGAAGGAAGGAAAUGUCCAAAGAGGUCUAAAAUUCCAAGGAAUAGCUCUGUCUAGAGAGUGGAAGCACUGGGUAUGAAAAACAAAUGAAAAACAACAACAAAACCUUUGAAAUGGAUAUUGAUCUGUUCUUCAACUCAGUUUAAGUUCAGAUCAAUGAAGACACGUAACUAUCUGCUAUAUAGCAGGAAAUGCAGCCCAGACCUCAGAGAGCCUGGGAGGAAACGGGUAAUAAAUGCACAAAUAGCAUUAACAUGCUAGUAAUGCACUCUGAUGGCAGAAUGUGCGGAGGGAGGGUGCCCAAGCCUGCCUGGGUCUUCAGGGAGGAUUUCCCGGAGGUGUGACUGGCACUGAUUUAAGACGAGAAGGAGCAGCGAGGAGCACUUCUGCAAGACUUGCAGAGGAGGGAGGCCUGGGCAUGAUUCUGAGCCUUUUAAAACAAUGGGCAAAAUACAUACGCUCAACAUUUUAUCCCUUGGUAUCCCAUCAUUAUGCCCAUUUCGAGGAAGGAGAAAAUGAAGAGAGAGAUUUCAACGCUGCCCGUGGAUUGCCUGUGGGGUUGGGGUUGAGGGGGGACAUAGCUGGGAUAGUGAGGCAGGACCCUACC